UACGUAGGGUGCAAGCGUUAAUCGGAAUUACUGGGCGUAAAGCGUGCGCAGGCGGUUUUGUAAGUCAGAUGUGAAAUCCCCGGGCUUAACCUGGGAACUGCGUUUGAAACUACAAGGCUAGAGUGUGGCAGAGGGGGGUGGAAUUCCACGUGUAGCAGUGAAAUGCGUAGAGAUGUGGAGGAACACCGAUGGCGAAGGCAGCCCCCUGGGUUAACACUGACGCUCAGGCACCAAAGCGUGGGGAGCAAACAGG
rnacentral:rRNA from 1 species